CGGGCGGCUAGGAUCGGCUCCAUUCCCUGCAAGACAGAGGGAGAAAUGUCAAAGGUUUCCUAAAUGUGCAUUCUCGCUUUAAUUUCAUGCAAAGACAUGCUCUCCGGGCAUCCCAUGUCAACAGUUUACACGCCCACAUCCUGUUUGGAGCAAUAAGGAAACGAGAGCCGUUUCCUGCUUGUCAUAUUGCCAGCUGCCACCAUCAGCUCAUUCACCAACUCUCCCCUCCGGUGACAUCACAAAGAAGAGAGAGCUUGCGAGAGAUCCUGAUGCCUGAUCCUGACAGAGGAGAGAGAAACUGAUCCUGGCCAAGAAUCACUGACAGCAUUCAGCUUUAGCUGUCUCAAGGUCCUGUGUCUGUAUGGCAGAUUGCAUCCUGUGAACAGUAAAUACAGAACUCAAGCUAUGCUAUAAAAUAUGCUAAAAACAUGAAAUGACAUUUGCAGUGCUUAAACUAAAACCCCAGGGGGAAUAUUUUUUUAUUUAUCGCUUACUGUGUUCUUCUUGUAAAUGAUUUGUUGUCGAGUCAUCUGGGGCGAUAGUCACUACAUUUAUGUGCUCCUAAGAAAAUUAACAGCAUAAUAUUUAAUCUCAAGAUUGCCACAUUAGCGUUUUAUUGGAAAUGAAAAGCGGUGCGAAAGGAAGGUUGCACUUGCAAGAAAUCACCUCUGGUAUAAACAGAGCUGUGGCUGUGAUAGCGUGGUCACAUAGUUUACCUCUUUCAGAAUAAACAAACCAAUGUCAAGGAAGAGUGGUCACGCAGACAACAGGAACUACAGCCCGGACCGAGGUCAUCACACUGACUCAACCACAAACACAGCAACCCUUAUCCAUGAUUACCCUGUCCAUGUGCCUCUCUCUCCCAGUAAUUACACUCUCAGCAUCGACACACACUUUCUCUCUUAGCCUCACAAACACACACAAAAAAAAAAACAAAAAAAAAAACAGGUACUCCCAAGGACAGGAUAUGCGGCUGUGGUGAAGAUAAAGUCUGACAGAUCAGUUCCUGUGGAAGACAGAUGCACUUUCUCCAGCAGUUAGCGCUUCAUAAAAUCUAUGACAUUCUCUAUCCAUGCUUCCCCGAGCACACAUAUGGCUUUCAGAAGAUACACUCAGUGUAAGCUGUCUAGAAAUGUGAAAUACUGCUUUCCUAUACGUAAACAUGCAAAACACGAGUCAGAAUUGAUUUACAGUGGCUGGAGGAUACUGUCGUCUCUGUUCUGCAUGUGCAGUGGCAUUUAUUGCAAUGUAUAACCCUUGAGAAACUACCAACUUAGACUCUCCGCUGUAAUUAAAACUGGUUCCGCUUAAGGUUUUGGUAACUGGAAACUCCCCAAAGUUAUAAAGUGCACUAGUCAUAAAAGUAGAGGAAAGAGAAGUCCAGCUGUUUUCUGCUAACGGUGAAAAACAUGAUCCCACACGGCUUCAAAAAUGUUGAAGUCUGGGCUCUGGGGAGGCCAAUCCAUGACUGAUAGUGUUCCAGUGAGUGGUGUUCUAUCCAGAUACACGUUUACAGCAUUAGUAUCGUGUUUGACAUCAUUUUCCUGCUGGAAAAUGAAGCCGUUCCAAUCAGACGCUGGAUCGAAAUCUGGUGAUACAUUUCUGUGUUCAUAGUCCCAAACCAUGACACAGCCUCCACAAAUAGCUGUAGACACUCACUUUUCCAUCUCAUUCUUGACCUACUUCUGUACAUACUGACAAUGACUUGAACCAAAAAACCCAAAUUUGGAUCCAUCACUCCACGUGACUUUUGUUCGCCGAUUUUCGGUCCAGUUCUUGAGUAAUCUGGCAUAUCUCAGCCUUUUCUCCAGGUUUCCUUUAAAAAAUGGCUUCACAAUAGCCCCGCCUCCACUGAGACCAUUUCUAAUAAGGAUGGUGAACAGUAGUGAACAACUGAAGCCCCUAAUGCAUCUCUCAGGUCCUGUGCAAGGUUUUUGUUGGAUUCCCCCCCCGCCGCCAUUUCUUAAGGAAGUUCAGUGUGUACUGUUCUCCUGCUUUAGAUUUUUUUUUUUUUUUUUUUUUUUUUUAGGUCUGCCACUUUCUCUUUUGGCUCCCUAGUUUUCUCAGGUUUUUGGUAAAUGUGGUAAAUGGCUCACCUUGUGGGUCUAAAAAUCCUAAUUUAUUCAUGUCAAGCUAUAUUAUCUUUGACAUUUUUCAUAGAUUCAACAAAAACUGGGAACAAAUUAUGCGUUUUCAUUACUAAGUUGUUGAUCUUGUGUAGAAGCCACACUGGUUCAUCCCUUGAGCCUUUCUCAUAGAUCAUAGCAGGAUUCACAAAAAUUGUGCACAAUAAUAUUUCUCCAACAUCCUCUGUUGCCUUUUAAUUAAUGAUGGUGGAUGGUGUUCUCAUCAGAGUUGGAGAGAAAAAAAGCAGCUGAAGCCUGAAACAUGAAAGGUUGUUAAAACGCCACUUCCUCUGUCUAAUGAGAGUUUAUUAUCUCUUCACAAUAAGUGUUUUUAAUUCAUUAUUGAGAGGAUAUCCUGUGCUGGAAAAUAAGGAGGAGAACAUGAUAGAUAAUUCCAAACCAGACACACACUCCUACAAAACAGGGAACAAACAGUGCCCUCAUUCACCAACAUGCUGCAGUGUGAAGCCUGGUUUACAAGGUGAACAGUGACACCUUCUGGCAAGAUCUGAUCCUUCAGUUAGUGCAGAGCACAGCAUGAGGCCACAUUGGAUAAAGUAGAGAGCAUAAAUUUAAGCAGGAAACCAAAGAAGCCAUUAAGUACAAACAGCUGAGGAUUCCUCAAUUAGAAACAGGUGGCUUAUUAUUAGCUUAGUUGUAGUUGACAACAUUUAAACAAAUUAAUAAGUAAUCAUGUAUUCAAAAAGUCUUAGCUGCAAUGUUUAAAAAAAAAUCCAAAUUAAGUUUAAUUGCUGCAAAGAAAUUCCAAAAACACUAAAGGGAAACUACUUAUAAUAGCAAGCCAGGAUAAAAAUUCACCUCAUAAAUGCUACAUUAAUACUUCGUAUGAUCAGUGCAUUUUUAAGGUCUGUUUCCAUUGUUUUGCUGGUGGCAGGAUCUGCUUUCUGCAUUUGAAGUUCAGUGUUGACAGCCCAGCAUCUACAGUGAAAAAAACAACGCUCUGCUUACAGCUUUUUCUCCCCUGCUGUGCUGACAGCAUUUUCAGUUAAAGAGCAUUACUUCCCUCUUUGUCCCUGACAAAAACUGUCAAUCCAUAGCUGUCACUGACAACCAAACUGUUUGGGAUCUCAGACUGAUCCAAUCCUGUGUUUAGGUCCUUUCUGGAGUAGACUGUGGAGACUCGGAGCACUCGGUACAGAUGAAGGCAAAAAUGUUUCACCGUAUUUUUGUAAUGUAACAACAACGCGGCUUUCUGAGAAGCACUCCAAGACUGAAAGCAUGGGUCAUUCCAUAUCAAUAACAGCUGUUAGUAGACACAGACCCUACGCUGUAACAAUCAAAAGUAGCCAUGCUUUUAUGUUAGCCUUUGUUUAGAAAGGCCUUUCAAGGUUUGUGGGUUAUUAAAACUUUAGAAUAAAGUCAACGUGAAAUUAUUCACUUCAGUUUCACACUUAUUGGGAAGCUUCAUUGCAUUGAUGGUAAUAAAUAAUAACACCCCGUCAACUCGAUUAAUAUUACCUUCAGCCUGUUUAUGUGUAAGAAGGUGCACACACAACAAAGCCAAGAGCAGAGAGGGGUAAAAACCCUGCACUACUUAUUGCUGAGGCUUCAUAGUACAGCUGCUUGAGCCGUUCAUAUAGGGAUUUAUGUCAUCAUUUUAAAAGUUUAGUUAGUUUAAUUUUCUAUGAUCAUCUGAUUAAUUGCCGCUCCAGGUUUAGAUUGAUAGAUCACAUAGAAUAGAAUGAGCUUACUAAUUAUAGUACUAACAUAACUUUUUUUCCCUCCCAGCAACAGCAAGAACAGCACUAGUUUUGAUGACUCCUACCUGGUUUGGGAGCUGUGGAUGCUGUUCUCCCAGCUGGGACAGACACUGGAUCAUUUUGUGAUGUUUGCGAGCCUGUAGGUGUGGCAUCUGCUGCCUCCUUCUGAACUUCUGUGGUAGAUGGAAACUCUGUAGCAUCCUUCUGAAUGUCUGUGAGAGCGGUGCACUUCAAA